CCUGGGCCUGCACUGACGCUCAUGCACGAAAGCGUGGGGAGCAAACAGGAUUAGAUACCCUGGUAGUCCACGCCCUAAACGAUGUCUACUAGUUGUCGGGUUUUAAUUAACUUGGUAACGCAGCUAACGCGUGAAGUAGACCGCCUGGGGAGUACGGUCGCAAGAUUAAAACUCAAAGGAAUUGACGGGGACCCGCACAAGCGGUGGAUGAUGUGGAUUAAUUCGAUGCAACGCGAAGAACCUUACC
rnacentral:rRNA from 1 species